rnacentral:rRNA from 1 species
CGAACGGGUGAGUAACGCGUGAGCAACCUGCCUAUGACAGUGGGAUAGCCUCGGGAAACCGGGAUUAAUACCGCAUGAAAUCGUAGAAACACAUGUUUUAACGGUCAAAGAUUUAUCGGUCAUAGAUGGGCUCGCGUCUGAUUAGCUAGUUGGUGAGAUAACAGCCCACCAAGGCGACGAUCAGUAGCCGGUCUGAGAGGAUGAACGGCCACAUUGGAACUGAGACACGGUCCAA